rnacentral:rRNA from 1 species
AACGAACGCUGGCGGCAGGCUUAACACAUGCAAGUCGAACGGUUGCAGCAAUGCAGCAGUGGCAGACGGGUGAGUAACACGUGGGAACCUUCCUAGGGGUACGGAACAACUCAGGGAAACUUGAGCUAAUACCGUAUACGUCCGUGAGGAGAAAGAUUUAUCGCCCUUAGACGGGCCCGCGUCGGAUUAGCUAGUUGGUGGGGUAAGGGCCUACCAAGGCGACGCUCCGUAGCUGAUCUUAGAGGAUGAUCAGCCACACUGGGACUGAGACACGGCCCAGACUCCUACGGGAGGCAGCAGUGGGGAAUCUUGGACAAUGGGCGCAAGCCUGAUCCAGCCAUGCCGCGUGAGUGAAGAAGGUCUUCGGAUUGUAAAGCUCUUUUGCCAGGGACGAUAAUGACGGUACCUGGAGAAUAAGCCCCGGCAAACUUCGUGCCAGCCGCCGCCGUAA